GUUGGAUUGUAAACCUUGUCCCGAUGGCUGGACCACCGCUGGGAUGCAAACUAGAAACAUCUCACUUUGCAACGUGCCACUGGAUAAGCCAACACACAGUGAACGUCCUGUUUUAUACAGCUUCAUAAUUACUGGGUUGGUUGUGAGUGUGUUCUUAGUUUUUAUUGGCGUUUGGUGUAAUCGUAAAUUGGUAAA